GUAACUACUAGCCAUUGUGGCUCUUGAUCGCUUGAAAUGUGUGCUUUUCCAUCGAAUUAAAUGUGCUUUAAAUUAAAAUACACACUACAUUUCAAAGACUUAGAAAAUUAAGAAUAACUAACAACUUAACAUUGAUCACAUGUAGAAAUGAUAAUAUACUGGUUAAAUAAAAUAUGUUAAUUAUAUUUAUUAAUAAACUAUAAUUAUUAACUAUAUUAACAAUUUUGCCUAUUUUUUACUUUUUAAAAUGUAACUACUAGAAACGUUAAAAUUACAUAUGUAGUUUACAUUUGUGAGUCACAUUAUAUUUUUAUUGGACAGUGUUUUACUGGAGAAUAAAAUAACCAGCUAGCUGUACAUAGGUGUCCCCCAUACUUUGUUCAUUUAGAUUUAGGAAGUGACUUGUCACAAAGUGAACAUCACCCACCUUAUAGUGCUUUCUGUUGCUUCCAGUUUUCCGACUUGAUUCUCAGGAAUAUGGAGACAUGGUAUAGUACUUUCUGAGCAAUUCCUUGCUGAGGAAUUUCUUUUCCCUGCUGGUUUGACAUUAAACAGAUUUGUGAACCUUUAGAAGGUACCACUGUGGGGACUCCAGAGAGUGACAGGGUUGAAAGGGUCCCCUGGAUCUCCCACAGAGAGACUUUCCUCCAGAAUCACCCUCAAUGAUCCCUCAGUAUGGAUUAAGUUCUUAAACUUUUUCAUCUGAAUUUGAGGUUUGGGGAUGGCUUACAGUAGUCAAAGCUGUUCUUGGCACUAUGGUCGCUCCAGUCGUGGCAUGUCAUGAAGCCCACUGUCCGGCCUCCUGGCUCAGAGACGUCACCAUGGAGACGUCUGACUGCAAUUGUGACCCGCUGCAGAUGGUGGCAGAGUAGGAGGAUGCUGCACGGACAUGCUCCCAGACACAAGAUGGAAUAAUGACUGAAAUAUGGAAAGGCUUCCUGAAUAAUCAAUGGAAAACUCACAGGAGAGAACCCUGAUACCCAAGGACUGAAGAUGGAGACCACAUAGAGACUGGUAGGAGGGGCGGAGGCACCAAAGGGCUGGCCAGGCACCCACAGACAGCAACUGAAGUCCCGGAGAGAUAUCUCAGCUGUGGGGGGUGCCACUGAGAACUCUGGGAUCUAAUCCUGAAGCUGGGCUCCUCAGCAGAGAGCACCAAACUGAGGAGGGUAGCCACAUAACAUCUAGCUGUGAAAAGCAGAGGAGUGCUGUCUGCCAGGGAGGGGCAGCUGAAAGUUUGGGCACCCUCUUACAGGGUCAACACACAGAAAUUCCCUGUGGAGCCACCCACCUUGUGCUCUGGCAGAGGGAGGGUGAAGUAGACUGGAGCUGUGAGAGCAGAACCCAGGACUGGGGAUUUGGAGGAUAGAGCUCAGAAGGCAGACACCCCAAGUUUCCUGCACUGAGUCAUUCCCUCACACAGUGGAGGACAUCUUUUCCACAUAGACAUCUGCCUUGCCUGGGGGGGGGGGGGGGGGGAAGACAGUCAACACACCCUAUUGAAAAAUACCUUGCCCUGAGGCCACUGAUGAGAUUAAAGGUAACAAUUAGCCUCCAGGCAGAAGCAACUGCCCCACCCUAUUGAAAAAACUCUCAUCACACCUGAGGACGAUUGCCUGGGGGAAUCCUAUUAGUCUGUAGACCAGUGGUUCUCAACCUUCCUAAUGCUGUGACCCUUUAAUACAGUUCCUCAUGUUGUGGUGACCCCCAAUUUCAUUGUUACAAAUUGAACAUAAUUAAAGCAUAGUGAUUAAUCACAAAAACAAUAUGUAAUUGUAUUUGUGUUUUCUGAUGGUCUUAGGCGACCCCUGUGAAAGGGUCGUUUUACCCCCAAAGGGUUCGCGACCCACAGGUUGAGAACCGCUGCUGUAGACAGAGGCGGACUCUGGAGGCUUUGAUUCUUUGCCUGAUCCAAUUAGUCAGAAACAGCCUUUAACACUGUCCUGCACUAGAGAUUGAGAGGUAUAUACUAUAGAGGAUCUACUUAAAACAUAGUCACAAACCCAAACAGACAACAAAAUGAGGAAACAAAGAAACAACUCCCAAAUGAAAGAACUAGAGAAUUCUCCAGAAGAGGAGAUAAAUGAAGCAGAGAUAAGAAAUUUAUAUGAAACAGAGAGUUCAGAGUAAUGAUGUUAAAAAUACUCAACAGUAUGAAAAAAGAUAUAGUAACUAUGAAAAAAGAACAGUCUGAGUAUCUGAAUGGAUACAAAAACAUGACCCAACUAUAUGCUGUCUACAAGAGACCCACCUCAAAACAAAAGACAUAUACAGGAUGAAAGUGAAGGGAUGGAAAAAAGUAAAGGGAUGAGAUAAAGAAUGACAUAACACAAAUAAAGAACACAUUGGAAGGAAUACACAGCAGAUUAGGGGAAGCUGAGGAUCGAAUCAGUGAAUUAGAAGCCAGUUGAAAAUAACACUCAAUUAGAGAACCAAAAAGAAAAAACAAUUAAAAAACAGAGGACAGCUUAAGGGAGCUGUGGGACAAUGUGAAAUGUAACAAUAUUAGAAUAGUAGGUGUGCCAGAAGAGGCAGAAAGGGAUAAAGGAGUAGAGAAGGUAUUUGAAGAGAUAAUGGUAGAAAACUUCCCUAACCUGGUAAAGGAAAAAGUCACACAAGUUCAGGAGGCACAGGGGACCCCAAACAAGAAGAACCCAAACAGAUCCAUGCCCAGAUACACCAUAAUUAAAAUGCCAAAAAUUAAAGACAAAGAGAGAACCUUAAAGGCAGCAAGAGAAAAGAAAACUGUCACCUACAAAGGAAAUCCCAUAAGACUGACACCUGAUUUCACAUCAGAAACUCUACAGGCCAGAAGGUUAAUGUGUCUGUGGUGGUUACAGCACAUCAAUAAACUGACUUACCCCAACACUUAUUUUAUUACUUACAAGAAAGAUGGUGAAUUGUGUUGACUUACCCCCACCAAGUACCAUUUGACUGGCUAAGGAAACUUCACUACAUGUGUUAACUUUAUGAACAUAGGUAUUUGGGAUUGGCAGUGGUGUGUGACAGGCAGAAGCGUGUCUUUAACACUGAUGCCACGGUGGGCACAGCUGCGUGCAGGCUAACUACAAUUAACUGGCCCAAGGCACCAGGCACCAGCUCCCCUCAAUGCCAGUGUGUCGAGGGAGCCUGCAAACUAUCUGCCCAGUCCAUUCCCUUUACCAAGCCUGUCAACAGUCCUGGGAGUUUCUCUGUAGGAAUUUCUUUGAUGACAGGAACCCUGGACUAUGAAAAAAAAAAAAAGUACUCAAGGUAAUGGAAAGCAAGGAUCUGAGACCAAGAUUGCUAUAUCCAGCAAGGCUAUCAUUCAAAAUAGAUGGUCAAAUAAAGAGCUUUUCAGACAAAAAAAGGCUAAAGGAGUUCAUCACCACCAAGCCAGCAUUACAAGAAAUGCUAAAGAGAUUGCUGUCAGGGAUUGCUGAGAAAAUGAA